rnacentral:lncRNA from 1 species
AUGGUGUUGAAGUGAAAAUGCGACCCUUUAAUACGCGAGCUGAAGUCGCAUAUUCCUGAGAUCGCGUAUUCUCUUCUGUUUUCUACAACUUGCUCAUCAACUUACCCCACUUUAACACAAUUUUUUCAGCUUAAUUCCAGCUCUCAAUUUUGGUUGUACCUGAUCAAGAAGAGUGUGGAAAAUUGGAGAAACAACUCAUGAGAGUUUCAAGAGUCAAAAAUGAUAACUAGAAACAACUCAUUUGUCUCUUAAAUCCUCUAUAAAUGGCAGCCUUUGGAGACCAUUUUAACAACUUUGGAAGGGUAGAGAAACUCCACAAAAAUGUAGUCUUCACUAGAAUUUUCUUAGUUCAUUAGUUAGAGUAGUAUAGUAUAGGUAGUGUAGUUUAUCCUUUAUGUAUUUGUAGUUAGAUUUGGAUGAAGAUUGAGGAGCAAAGAUGGAGUGAUUGAUCUCAUGUGACAAGGGUGAUAUCUCUUCUACUACUUUAUCUUUUAUAUUGGAUUUUAUGUUUUGCUAUAAUACAAGUUUGGCUUUGUGUUUUAACAUACUUAGUUAAAGUUUAUGCCUAGAGCAUCGAUAAACUUACUAUAUCUUGUUAGUGAUGUUUACUUGGUUAUUUGAUGAUAUUAUUUUGUACAAGUUAUUUAUAACUCCUGCUUUUCUAAUCACGAUUAAUCGGCCAUUAGUUGUGAUUA